UACGUAGGGGGCAAGCGUUGUCCGGAUUUAUUGGGCGUAAAGAGCUCGUAGGCGGUUCCGGAAGUCGUGAAGUCAAAUCUCUGGGCUCAACCCAGAAUCGCUUCCGAUACUGCGGUGACUGGAGUCCGGUAGGGGAGUGUGGAAUUCCUGGUGUAGCGGUGAAAUGCGCAGAUAUCAGGAGGAACACCAACAGCGAAGGCAGCACUCUGGGCCGGUACUGACGCUGAGGAGCGAAAGCAUGGGGAGCGAACAGG
rnacentral:rRNA from 1 species